GACGAACGCUGGCGGCGUGCUUAACACAUGCAAGUCGAACGGAAAGGCCCCCUUGUGGGGUACUCGAGUGGCGAACGGGUGAGUAACACGUGAGUAACCUACCCUUGACUUUGGGAUAACUUCAGGAAACUGGGGCUAAUACCGGAUAGGAGCUCCUGCUGCAUGGCGGGGGUCGGAAAGUUUCGGCGGUUGGGGUUGGACUCGCGGCUUAUCAGCUGGUUGGUGGGGUAGUGGCUAACCAAGGCUUUGACGGGUAGCCGGCCUGGGAGGGUGACCGGCCACAUUGGGACUGAGAUACGGCCCAGACUCCUACGGGAGGCAGCAGUGGGGAAUAUUGCACAAUGGGCGGAAGCCUGAUGCAGCAACGCCGCGUGCGGGAUGACGGCCUUCGGGUUGUAAACCGCUUUCGCCUGUGACGAAGCGUGAGUGACGGUAAUGGGUAAAGAAGCACCGGCUAACUACGUG
rnacentral:rRNA from 1 species